AUGGCCAUGGCCGUGAACGAUGAGAUGUCGCGCCGGUUCCUCCCCUGGGGCCUUCCCCUCAGGAGCGGUUCUGGGUACAGGGUAACCCCGAGGCCGAACGAGCCCGUCUAUCUCACCUGCGCCUACCUGCUCGACUCCGAGAGCGCUGUCGGCCAGGGCGCCGUGGACGCCUGCGUCCAUAUCGACACGCGGAACCUCCUUAGCGCGUUGCUGUCGGCGGAGAACCCCCGCGUGGAGCUACAGACCCCGGUGCGGCUGGAGAUGGACAAGGAGUGUUGCUUCCACGUGGUGCCUCAUGGAGGCGAUUCUGACGCCGAAGCAGACAGGGACGCCGAUGCUGACACCGGCCUAGACGUCGACGCCGACGCUGAUGAUGACGCCGACGCGGUCAUCGUCAUAUUCGAGGGUUUCCUUGUUACUCUGCGACCUCUUGACACGGAAGAGGAGGAGGAUGACGACGACACGGAAGAGGAGGAGACUGGCAGCGACGACGAUGAUGAGUACGAGGAGAAGCAGGAAGGAACCGACAGUGAGCUUGACCUAGACGUGGCCAGGGCGAGCAGUGCUGGCGGCAUCUCCAAGGAUGCUCGGCAGGUUGUAGCCAUAACUAUGGCAUUCUUAGGCAUCCUUUUGUUUGUCUCUAUGUUAGCAUUCCUCGGAUUGAUAUUGUAA
rnacentral:rRNA from 1 species